rnacentral:rRNA from 1 species
UACGAAGGGGGCUAGCGUUGCUCGGAAUCACUGGGCGUAAAGGGUGCGUAGGCGGGUCUUUAAGUCAGGGGUGAAAUCCUGGAGCUCAACUCCAGAACUGCCUUUGAUACUGAAGAUCUUGAGUUCGGGAGAGGUGAGUGGAACUGCGAGUGUAGAGGUGAAAUUCGUAGAUAUACGCAAGAACACCAGUGGCGAAGGCGGCUCACUGGCCCGAUACUGACGCUGAGGCACGAAAGCGUGGGGAGCAAACAGG